rnacentral:rRNA from 1 species
GACGUAGGGCGCGAGCGUUGUCCGGAUUUAUUGGGCGUAAAGAGCUCGUAGGCGGCUUGUCGCGUCGUUCGUGAAAACUUGGGGCUCAACCCCAAGCUUGCGGUCGAUACGGGCAGGCUAGAGUUCGGUAGGGGAGACUGGAAUUCCUGGUGUAGCGGUGAAAUGCGCAGAUAUCAGGAGGAACACCGGUGGCGAAGGCGGCUACCUGGACAGAAACUGACGCUGAGGCGCGAAAGCUAGGGGAGCAAACAGG